rnacentral:rRNA from 1 species
UACGUAGGUGGCGAGCGUUGUCCGGAUUUACUGGGCGUAAAGAGCGCGCAGGCGGUCGUUCAAGUCGGAUGUGAAAGCCCCCGGCUCAACUGGGGAGGGUCAUUCGAUACUGAUCGACUCGAAGGCAGGAGAGGGAAGCGGAAUUCCCGGUGUAGUGGUGAAAUGCGUAGAUAUCGGGAGGAACACCAGUGGCGAAGGCGGCUUCCUGGCCUGUUCUUGACGCUGAGGCGCGAAAGCCAGGGGAGCAAACGGG